rnacentral:rRNA from 1 species
CUGGGCUCGAAAUGCUAUGGACCAGCUGGUGAAAGCCGGCCUUCCCGCAAGGGACCGUAGUAUAGGUGCUGCAUGGCUGUCGUCAGCUCGUGUCGUGAGAUGUUGGGUUAAGUCCCGCAACGAGCGCAACCCUUGUCCUGUGUUGCCAUACCGAAAGGUGGAACUCGCAGGAGACCGCCAGGGAUAACCUGGGGGAAGGUGGGGAUGACGUCAAGUCCUCAUGGCCUUUAUGUCCAGGGCUACACACGUGCUACAAUGGACGGUACAAAGGGCUGCCAACCCGCGAGGGGGAGCCAAUCCCAAAAAACCGUUCUCAGUCCGGAUUGCAGGCUGCAACUCGCCUGCAUGAAGCUGGAAUCGCUAGUAAUGGCGGAUCAGAACGCCGCCGUGAAUACGUUCCC